UACAGAAGAACUCAGAAUUGUAUUUUUCACCGAGUUCUUUAAAUAAUCUUGUGCCAAUUCUCAAUUGCGCUGGGAAAAUUGUCACAUAUUGAACAUCGAUUUGUUUUCCCCCUCAGCAAUGCUUACUACAUUUUUCCGAGGAAUUUGUUCUCGUUUGGAAGUACCGAAUAUAACAUCAACGAUAAUUGAUCUAUUUAUUCGUUGGUAGCAUACUUAGUAGGAAGUCACUUAUUAAUUCGACGAAGCAAUUGAGAAUCGCUCGAAGGUCUCGUUUCUGUUAAGCGCGCCGGUUGAAUCCUUCAAGAUGUUGAAUUAUUAAUUGUCUCGAGAUACAACGUACACGGGAAAGGCAGCAGGCGAUAUCCGUGUGCAACAGCAAGAGCCGUGAAGAGAGGGGCCAUAGCGCGUGCCGUAGCGGCGCAUUACCUUGAUUGCAAUGGCAGGAAACGCUAAUUCACUAAUGCGUCGCUUCCAUACUCGUAUACUACCACUUUGCUUUCGUACGCCGCGAGUGUGGCUCGGUUAUUGAGGAUAGUUUAGGAUUAUACGCUAACGAUUCCGCGUUGCGGUCGUUCUGUAUUUGUUACUAGACAAUCUCGUAAACAUAUUGGUUUUAUAUGGAUUAAAAUAAACGAGUAAGAAAUUAAAAGUUGAUGCAUGAAUGUGAAGGCGAAUUGGCUUCGUAAUUAAGUACUUGGUACCGUAGGGUCUCUGUCACAGAUUGCAACCAUCGAGAUGCCCUACUAAUGUCACUGUAAUAACGCAUUUGGAUUUAAUAAAUGGAUAUGGACUAGGUCUUAUACUUAAUAGAGUAAUUAAGGUGUAACAGAUCCUGUAUCAUAUAUCUAUGGCUAUUAAUAAGCAUAAACACAACAUACUCGUUCAAGUAAAUACGUUAAAUUUAAAUGAUUAAACGAGGCGUAAAUUACAAAUAUCAGAAACAGAACGGAUUACAUUAUCAAAUUAAAUUAUACGCGCAUUACGCAAAAUGCAGGUGAAUUAAUCAGAAAUCAAAAGGAUGAUAGAAAAUAUCUACUUUAAUUGUAUUCUACUGUUCCAAUUCAGAAUUGAAAAUAAUUCAAUUAAUGAUUUAGUAUUCCAAUAGUAACCGAUAUUAAAGUCAUAAAUAAACGAACCUUAGAGUAAUGGUUCCUACCACCUAUUCCUAUACCACCCUCGCAUAAUAGCGCCCGAAAAUUGCACAUUCUACUAUACAGGCCAAGUAUAAUUGGUUGCGCAACCACGUAAGUUAACUCCAUUACUGAAUCCCCUAAUAGACAAAUCGUGUUCCCAUUUCUUUCUCUCUUUCUCGCUGUCUAUUCGUUCCAUUAUUUGCCUAAACAAUCAUAAAACAAAAACGACUUAAAUGUUCGUUACGAAAGGAUAUAUUUAAAUUGAUGAUCAUA